rnacentral:rRNA from 11 species
AAUUACGUCUAAUUUGCCUAAAGGCACCAGAUCCCAUCUGACCUUGAAGGGUAAGCAGGGUCAAGUCAAGUUAGUACUUGGAUAGGAGACCACAAACAAAUAUUAUGAGCAGAAUGUUAUAAUUU